UGCUAACUCAAUUUUAUUUCCAUGUAAAAGUAUAGAGAAAAAUGUAUCAAAGUGUUUCAGGAUAAAAUUAAUUCCAUUUGCUUGGAGUGAUUUUCUUGCUUCUACAAAAAGAAAAUUAAUAUAGUGGGAGAGACGUCUAAAGAUAGUGAAUGACAUUUAUUACAUACCAUCGAUGGCGUGUGAAAGCAUCCGUACAGGAACGAGUUUUUCAACAGAAAAUUGUCCACUCUUUCUUCUUUGCAACAGUUCAUCCUUAUUUACAGGAAUAACAAAAUCCUUUAUCAUUUUGGUUAAAUUCUCUUCUGUAGCCCCAGGUUAAUAUCUCGUUCC